AAGCAACAAAACAGCCCGCCUCUUUGCAUUGAGAGCACACUUCAUGGGGAACACUUCAUUUACGGACAUUGCAGAGCUUCAGUCAUACGCACAAUGAUGAACUUUACCUUGAUGACAGCUUUCAUUCUCUGCAGCCUCAGCUGGAUCUCUGUCUCAGUUUCUGAGUCUCAGACUGUGGAGGUCCAGUCUGGUGAAGACGUCACACUGCUGUGCUCCAACAUUUCCAAAAAUGAAGCUGUAACAUUCUGGAUCAGACUUGUCCAGAGAACCAGCAUCAGCUGUAUCUCUGUUAUGAUCACAUCUAAAAGCCAAGCUACAUUCUGUGAUGGAUAUCAAGAUGGAAGAUUUGAAAUGAGCUCCAACAUCUCUGCUCUCUUUCUCAAAAUCAAACAAGUGGGUUAUCUGACUCUGGACUGUAUUUCUGUGGAUUUUAUACAGAUGGACGUCCAAGUUUCAGUGUAAUACAUUUAGACAUUAAAGACAGCGAUGAGUCGCAUGAUGACGUGGACAGCAAGUGUGAAAAAGAGGGAGAUGGAAUAACCAAUCCGAUGAGUGUGAUCCUGGGCGGUUUGACUGUUUUCUUUGUAACAGUCAUCAUUGGUCUGGUUGUUAAAGUCAAGAAACUUCAGACAGCUGUCAAUGAAGAACAGAUUCCACAACAGCGUAAGAAUCUGGACUCUGAUGACCUGAAAGCACUGAGUUUGUUUUCAACAACAAUAAGAAACAGGAGGCCUGCAUCAGAGAGAGAAGUGCAAACUCAUAUUGUUUAUGGUGCCAGCAGAUAGACUCAUAUUCAUCCACUGCUGUUUAUGGACGGAUGGAAGGAG